ACUAUGCUUUGCCCUAAACAUUGAUAGUCUCAUACAACCACUAUCCGCCUGGGAACUACUAGCAACAGCUUAAAACUCAAAGGACUUGGCGGUGCUUUAUAUCCUU
rnacentral:rRNA from 1 species